rnacentral:rRNA from 1 species
AACGUAGGACGCAAGCGUUAUCCGGAGUUACUGGGCGUAAAGCGCGGGCAGGCGGCCUGCCAAGUGGGGUGUGAAAGCUCCCAGCUUAACUGGGAGAGGCCAUUCCAAACUGACAGGCUGGAGGGCAGUAGAGGUAGGCGGAAUUCCGGGUGGAGUGGUGAAAUGCGUAGAGAUCCGGAGGAACACCAGAGGCGAAGGCGGCCUACUGGGCUGCACCUGACGCUGAGCCGCGAAAGCGUGGGGAGCAAACAGG